rnacentral:rRNA from 2 species
AAUGCGAUAAGUAAUGUGAAUUGCAGAUUUUCAGUGAAUCAUCGAAUCUUUGAACGCACCUUGCGCUCCUUGGUAUUCCGAGGAGCAUGCCUGUUUGAGUGUCAU